rnacentral:rRNA from 1 species
AUGAACGCUAGCGGCAGGCCUAACACCUGCAAGUCGAGGGAGAGGUUACCUUCGGGUAACCAAAACCGGCGCACGGGUGCGUAACGCGUAUACAAUCUGCCUUUCACAUAGGGAUAGCCCGAAGAAAUUUGGAUUAAUACCUAAUGGUAUAUAAGAGCGGCAUCGUUUUUAUAUUAAAGCUACGGUGGUGAAAGAUGAGUAUGCGUUCUAUUAGCUAGUUGGAGAGGUAACGGCUCCCCAAGGCGACGAUAGAUAGGGGUUCUGAGAGGGAUGUCCCCCACACUGGUACUGAGAUACGGACCAGACUCCUACGGGAGGCAGCAGUGAGGAAUAUUGGACAAUGGUCGGAAGACUGAUCCAGCCAUGCCGCGUGCAGGAUGAAGGUCCUAUGGAUUGUAAACUGCUUUUGUAAGGGAAGAAUAAGGAGUACGUGUACUUUGAUGACGGUACCUUACGAAUAAGCAUCGGCUAACUCCGUG